GCCUUGGUGGCGGAACUGGUAGACGCGCAGGACUUAAAAUCCUGUUUGCAGCAAUGCAAGUGCGGGUUCGAUUCCCGCCUGAGGCA
rnacentral:tRNA from 1 species